AAUGAACGCUGGCGGCAGGCCUAACACAUGCAAGUCGAACGGAUCCUUCGGGAUUAGUGGCGGACGGGUGAGUAACGCGUGGGAACAUACCCAAAGGUACGGAAUAGCCUCGGGAAACUGGGAGUAUACCGUAUGUGGUCGAGAGACGAAAGAUUUAUCGCCAAAGGAUUGGCCCGCGUUGGAUUAGGUAGUUGGUGGGGUAAUGGCCUACCAAGCCGACGAUCCAUAGCUGGUUUGAGAGGAUGAUCAACCACACUGGGACUGAGACACGGCCCAGACUCCUACGGGAGGCAGCAGUGGGGAAUCUUAGACAAUGGGGGAAACCCUGAUCUAGCCAUGCCGCGUGAUCGAUGAAGGCCUUAGGGUUGUAAAGAUCUUUCAGGUGGGAAGAUAAUGACUGUACCACCAGAAGAAGCCCCGGCUAACUCCGUGCCAGCCGCCGCCGUAA
rnacentral:rRNA from 1 species